rnacentral:rRNA from 1 species
CCUACGGGAGGCAGCAGUGGGGAAUCUUGCGCAAUGGGCGAAAGCCUGACGCAGCCAUGCCGCGUGAAUGAUGAAGGUCUUAGGAUUGUAAAAUUCUUUCACCGGGGACGAUAAUGACGGUACCCGGAGAAGAAGCCCCGGCUAACUUCGUGCCAGCAGCCGCGGUAAUACGAAGGGGGCUAGCGUUGCUCGGAAUUACUGGGCGUAAAGGGAGCGUAGGCGGAUAGUUUAGUCAGAGGUGAAAGCCCAGGGCUCAACCUUGGAAUUGCCUUUGAUACUGGCUAUCUUGAGUAUGGGAGAGGUAUGCGGAACUCCGAGUGUAGAGGUGAAAUUCGUAGAUAUUCGGAAGAACACCAGUGGCGAAGGCGGCAUACUGGCCCAUUACUGACGCUGAGGCUCGAAAGCGUGGGGAGCAAACAGGAUUAGAUACCCUGGUAGUCCACGCUGUAAACGAUGAGUGCUAGUUGUCGGCAUGCAUGCAUGUCGGUGGUACGCGAGCUAACGACAUUAAGACACUCCGCCGUCGGGAGGUACGGUCGCGAGAAGUUAAACUACGAAGAAGUAGACGGACGUGAGACGUGCCGACGGACGACGACGAGGGAGGAGG